rnacentral:misc_RNA from 1 species
GUGAGUCAUCGAAUCUUUGAACGCACAUUGCGCCCCUUGGUAUUCCAUGGGGCAUGCCUGUUCGAGCGUCAUCUACACCCUCAAGCACUGCUUGGUGUUGGGCGUCUGUCCCGCCGCUCCGGCGCGGACUCGCCCCAAAGUCAUUGGCAGCGGCCUUGCCAGCCCCUCGUGCACACAUUGCGCCUGUGGGGAACCGUAAAGGCCCGCGUCCCAGAAGCCAACCUCGCGGUUUGACCUCGGAUCAGGUAGGGAUACCCGCUGAACUUAAGCAUAUCAAUAAGCGGAGGA